rnacentral:rRNA from 1 species
AGUGAACGCUGGCGGCGUGCUUAACACAUGCAAGUCGAACGAGAACGGAUUAUAGCUUGCUAUAAUUGUCAGCUAAGUGGCGCACGGGUGAGUAAUGUAUAGGUAAUAUGCCUCUUACUAAGGGAUAACAAAUGGAAACGUUUGCUAAUACCUUAUACUCCUUAUUAACAUAAGUUAAUAAGGGAAAGAUUUAUUGGUAAGAGAUUAGCCUGUAUUGUAUCAGUUAGUUGGUGGGGUAAUGGCUUACCAAGACUAUGACACAUAACUGGUUUGAGAGGAUGAUCAGUCACACUGGAACUGAGACACGGUCCAGACUCCUACGGGGGGGAGCAGUGGGGAAUAUUGCACAAUGGACGAAAGUCUGAUGCAGCAACGCCGCGUGGAGGAUGACACAUUUCGGUGCGUAAACUCCUUUUAUAUGAGAAGAUAAUGACGGUAUUAUAUGAAUAAGCACCGGCUAACUCCGUGCCAGCAGCCGCCGUAA